CCUACGGGAGGCAGCAGUGAGGAAUAUUGGUCAAUGGACGAGAGUCUGAACCAGCCAAGUAGCGUGAAGGAUGACUGCCCUAUGGGUUGUAAACUUCUUUUAUAUGGGAAUAAAAUGUUCCACGUGUGGGAUUUUGUAUGUACCAUAUGAAUAAGGAUCGGCUAACUCCGUGCCAGCAGCCGCGGUAAUACGGAGGAUCCGAGCGUUAUCCGGAUUUAUUGGGUUUAAAGGGAGCGUAGGUGGAUUGUUAAGUCAGUUGUGAAAGUUUGCGGCUCAACCGUAAAAUUGCAGUUGAAACUGGCAGUCUUGAGGACAGUAGAGGUGGGCGGAAUUCGUGGUGUAGCGGUGAAAGGCUUAGAUAUCACGAAGAACUCCGAUUGCGAAGGCAGCUCACUGGACUGCAACUGACACUGAGGCUCGAAAGUGUGGGUAUCAAACAGGAUUAGAUACCCGAGUAGUC
rnacentral:rRNA from 1 species